rnacentral:rRNA from 1 species
GACGAACGCUGGCGGCGUGCUUAACACAUGCAAGUCGAACGGUGAUCUUGGGAGCUUGCUCCUGGGUGAUCAGUGGCGAACGGGUGAGUAACACGUGAGUAACCUGCCCCUGACUCUGGAAUAACCCCGGGAAACCGGGGCUAAUACCGGAUAUGACAUCAUCCCGCAUGGGUGUGGUGUGGAAAGUUUUUUCGGUUGGGGAUGGGCUCGCGGCCUAUCAGCUUGUUGGUGAAGUAGUGGCUCACCAAGGCGACGACGGGUAGCCGGCCUGAGAGGGCAACCGGCCACACUGGGACUGAGACACGGCCCAGACUCCUACGGGAGGCAGCAGUGGGGAAUAUUGCACAAUGGGCGGAAGCCUGAUGCAGCGACGCCGCGUGAGGGAUGACGGCCUUCGGGUUGUAAACCUCUUUCAGCUCUGAAGAAGCGGAAGUGACGGUAGGAGCAGAAGAAGCACCGGCUAACUACGUGCCAGCAGCCGCAGUAAUAC